rnacentral:tRNA from 1 species
GCGGGAGUGGCGAAAUCGGCAGACGCACUAGACUUAGGAUCUAGCGCCGAAAGGUGUAGGGGUUCAAGUCCCCUCUCCCGCACCA